UAAGAAGACAAAGCCCUCUGCAAUUCUUUAUCAUCGAUCAAACCACUUCCAUCUUGAUCCGCCACUUGAAAGCAUGCAACGAUGCUUGGAUCGGUACCGGGAGGGAAUGUUGACGGAACCAGUGAAGCGAACGGGCUUGCGUACGCCGGUGGUGGGUAGGUAGCGCCACCGCCGCCGGAGGAGUGAGAAUCUUCCUUUGGUGGUUUCUGGUAAGGGGCGGCGUAAGGAGCGGAGGGUUGGCCGUAGGAGGUGGGGGGUGGUGCGCCGUAGGAUUGAGAUGGCGGUGGUGCGCCGUAGGAUUGAGAUGGAGGAGGAGCGCCGUAGGAUUGGGAUGGUGGAUGUGAGCCGUGGGAUUGAGAUGGAGGAGGGGCACCGUAGGAUGAUGGUGGAUGUGAGCCGUGAGAUUGGGAAGGAGGUGGUGCGCCGUAGGAUUGGGAAGGAGGUGGUGCGCCGUAGCCGUAACCGUAACUGGGAGGUUGAUUUGGGUAGCCGGACAUGUUGAAGAGUGAGAGGGUUUGUUAGAGAAAAUUAUAUGAGUGAAGAAGAGCAGAGACAAAUGAUAGUGGAUUUUGUGGAGGUUCUGGAUUUAUAUACAGCUACUCCUGAUAUAUGCUGAGGUGGAAUGGUUAUGUGGUUUUAGAAAAAAAAAAAUUGUCCUAAAUUAUACGUCGCUUUACAAUACCAAUGAAAUAUUUAUGUUAUUUUUUUUAUUAUAUCCUUAAUUAUUAAUUACUCUAUCUUCUUUCAAUUAUUUCAUUUAUUUUUUUCAUACCAUUUAUUAAGGAUAAUUUUGUAAAAUAACUCAUAAUUUCUCUUCUCUACGCAAUAUUAAUUACAUUUUUUAAUACUGUGAAAUGGUCAAAAC
rnacentral:lncRNA from 1 species